AUGCGUAUGUUGAGAUGGAUGUGUGGCCACACGAGGAAGGAUCGAGUCCGGAAUGAUGAUAUACGAGAUAGAGUUGGGGUAGCACCAAUUGAGGAGAAGCUUGUCCAACAUCGUUUGAGAUGGUUUGGGCAUAUUCAGCGCAGGCCUCCAGAAGCUCCAGUGCAUAGCGGACGGCUAAAGCGUGCGGAGAAUGUCAAGAGAGGGAGGGGUCGACCGAUUUUGACAUGGGAGGAGUCCGUUAAGAGAGACCUGAAGGAUUGGAGUAUCGACAAAGAGCUAGCUAUGGACAGGGGUGCGUGGAAGCUUGCUAUCCAUCUGCCAGAGCCAUGA
rnacentral:rRNA from 1 species